GAUGAACGCUGGCGGCGUGCCUAAUACAUGCAAGUCGAGCGAACGGACGAGAAGCUUGCUUCUCUGAUGUUAGCGGCGGACGGGUGAGUAACACGUGGAUAACCUACCUAUAAGACUGGGAUAACUUCGGGAAACCGGAGCUAAUACCGGAUAAUAUUUUGAACCGCAUGGUUCAAAAGUGAAAGACGGUCUUGCUGUCACUUAUAGAUGGAUCCGCGCUGCAUUAGCUAGUUGGUAAGGUAACGGCUUACCAAGGCAACGAUGCAUAGCCGACCUGAGAGGGUGAUCGGCCACACGGGAACGGAGACACGGUCCAGACUCCUACGGGAGGCAGCAGUAGGGAAUCUUCCGCAAUGGGCGAAAGCCUGACGGGGCAACGCCGCGUGAGUGAUGAAGGUCUUCGGAUCGUAAAACUCUGUUAUUAGGGAAAAACAUAUGUGGAAGUAACUGUGCACAUCUUGACGGUAACUAAUCAGAAAGCCACGGCUAACUACGUG
rnacentral:rRNA from 1 species